GCAUGGCCUGUCCCAGAGAAAAGAAGUUGACACUGGCCGGUGUGCUAGCUCCCAACCCGUUCCCGUCUUGUUGCAACUUCCAGAGAGUCACCUCCUUAGAGCAGUUUUCACAUUCCAGAGCCGCAGUGCCUCGUUUUUAUUCCUCUCAUUCCUGCCCCCACCAAAGGAGUCCCUCCUCUUUCCGGACGCAACUGAGCCCUGAGACCUCACGGAAGGAGAGAGGCGGGAGAGGAAGGGGCGGAGGUAGACAGCUAGGACCAAACCCGGGAGUCCAAAUUCCUCCGCGUCGCGCGCUGGCCCCUGCGCUGAGACCGCGCCUCUCCCGCGGGGUCGGGCUCCGGGGACCCCGAACUCCGUGGCCCCUACCUGAUUCCGAAGGGCCCCGGGGCCGGAUGGGCUCCGAGGCCCGGACGAUGCAGCCGCCGCUGCCUCUCGGUCUCAGCGUCAGCCUUAGCCUCAGCCAAGGCGGGAGGAGGCGGCGGCUGCGGAGGUGACGACUCGGCGCCGCAGUCCGGCCGGAGCCCCCGCCCGGGAGGAGCUGGAGCCGGAGCCUUGUUGGCCCAGGGCGGGGCGGCUCCAGGGACCGGGCCAGGGUCGGGCCAUGCAGCGCUCGCAGGCGGACGCGGUCGCUUUGCUUCGCGCCAGUAGGCUACUGGCCGAUUUGUCGCUGGCCGAACCAGGUUCAGACGGCUGGUGCCGGGGGCGGCCAGGACAGCGGCCUGCGCCCCUGGAGGAGACGGCCCCUGCUCGUUCCUGGAGGUUAGACGGUGGUGGCUGCUCGGAGCCUGGAGGCUGCCUAGAGCGCGGUCAGUGGCGGGCCGCCUACGAGGGCCACGGUGCCCGCCUGGCAACCCCCUCUUUGGAGCCCAGCGCCAAGGCCGCAAGCAGUUCACGCGGGGCCAGUCUGGCAGAUUCCGAGGGCUAUGAGAGCCGACCCUGCAGCGCUCGCACCAGCGGUAUCAGCCUCGGCUACGACCAGAGAAACAGCAGCCCGCGCUCCAGCUGCUCCGACCCCCGGGGUCCGGGGCCACUUGAGCAGCUCCAAGACGCUGCGAAUCCGGGGCUGGCCCGGCUCGGGGCCGCCCCCACCCGCCGCCCCUCCUGGAGCGGAGGCCUUGGAGUCGGCAGCAGCGCCCGCUCCAGCGUUUCUAGCCUGAGCUCCCGGGGCUCGGCGGGUGCCCAUGCCGACCUACUGCUGCCUCCCGCCCCACCGCCUUCAGGUUCGGCCGGCCUUGCCCAUCCCGUGGCCGGAGUCCGGCUUCAGCUGCCCUUCCAGGUGACCGCGGGACGGGAGAGUGGUCCCAGCCCCGCGGAGCGAAGGCUUGAGGCACUGACUCUGGAGCUGGAGAGGGAGCUGGAUCUAAGAGCAAAGGAGGAGUAUUUUGGAGUUUGUAUAAAGUGCAGAUCAGGCAUCUACGGUGCAAGUCAAGCCUGCCAGGCAAUGGGGAGCCUUUACCACACCAACUGCUUCACUUGCUAUUCUUGUGGGAGAAGACUCCGGGGAAAGGCCUUCUACAAUGUGGCUGGGAAAGUCUACUGUGAGGAGGACUUCCUGUACUCAGGGUUUCAGCAGACGGCCGACAAGUGCUUUGUGUGCGGACACCUCAUCAUGGAGAUGAUUCUUCAGGCCCUUGGGAAGUCCUACCACCCCGGCUGUUUCCGAUGUGUUGUAUGUAAUGAGUGCUUGGAUGGCGUCCCUUUCACCGUGGAUGUCGAGAACAAUAUUUACUGUGUCAAAGAUUAUCACACGGUUUUUGCACCUAAAUGUGCCUCAUGUACCCGACCCAUCCUUCCUGCGAAGGGCUGUGAAGAGACUAUUCGGGUGGUAUCAAUGGAUAGAGAUUAUCAUGUGGAAUGCUAUCAUUGUGAGGAUUGUGGGCUCCGUCUGAAUGAUCAAGAAGGCCGCCGCUGCUAUCCCCUGGAAGGCCACCUGCUGUGUCGAAGCUGCCACAUGGGACGCCUGUCUACCCCAGCCCUGACCAACUAUACUAUGCAUAUGACGGAGCUCUGAAGGACUCCCUGAUGGAUCAGAGCUCAGGCCCAGGAUUAGGGGAGUUUUUUCAGUUCCUUAACCAGGUGCUUCAUUGGACAAAGUGAGCAUUCUUGGAACCUGUUGAAGAACUAUGUGGAAGUCUCUAACAGCAAAGUGUUUGGAGGAUGUGCCCCCAGACAGACUUGGCUCCAGCAAGAAAAUUGCUAAGAGCAAAUCCACAUCUCCAAAGGGAGUGUCAGCUUGUGAAACAUGAAGAGACAUGGACUUGGUUUGCUGAAGUAUUGAAGAACUAUAAAUUGUCCUCUUGAAGAUGUGCCCAGUGAAGGUUGGAGGACCUGUAAGAAUGGAGGUUCUGAGGGUACAGUGGGGAAGGCAGUGUUCCUUUACCUCUGCUGGAUUUUAUCAAACUGACUGGUGAUGCUAAGGGCUAGAAAUCGAGCCAGCAGGGGUAGGGUUACCUUCUGGGCUUAUUCUAGGAGUCUGAGCUUGCAAGGAUAAAGGAAUCUCCGGAUCUCAGAAUUUCUAAGCAUCACAGAAGCUAUUUAGGCCAAACCAUACCUGAAGAAGAAUCUUCAAUACAAUAUAACAGUAAUUCAGUCUUUGCUUUCUCAAACUCUUGGAAAAAUGGAAGUCAAAAGGUUUGAUACUCAGAAUCCAUAGUCACAUGGAGAGACAGUGUGGGCCUGUGCUACUGAAAUGGUAAGGUCUAGCAACUGAGGCAUUCCAAAAGGUGCCUGAGGACCCAGGAGUAAGGAGGGAAGAUGUGAACUGUGGAGGAGCUGCAGAGACUGGCUGGCCAUAUGAGCAGGAUCCAAAUGUUGGUUAAAGAAGCUAGCCAAAUAUCAGUUUGGCUCCUCUCUGGAGGAAAGUCACCACUCCCAGAGUAAGCCCUUGUGGAUUGCUCUGUGCCAAGAAAUUUUUCCUUGCAGGCGACCUAAAUUUGUCUCUGGGACUUCCACCCAUUGUUUCUGACUCAGUUCUCUAGGGACAAGUGGAACAAAUCGAAUCCCUUUUUGACACACAAAGGUUAUUGCUUACACUGAGUUUAUUUAAUAUGUAUCUGUCAACUUGAGCCCUAUGUGUAUGUGUGUAAUGUUUUUUUGUGCUGCACACAUGCUUGAAAACAGCCAUCAUGUCCUCACUGAAUCUUUUCUACAGAUUAAACAUUUGCACCUCCUUUUAUUCAUGCUCAAAUGGCACAAUCCUAAAAUCCUUCACCUAUUUGCCCUUUUUUGCAUAUCUGUUGGGCCCAUCUGAAAUGUGAUAUUCAGAAAUGGACACAAUACUGAUGUGGUCUGGUCAGGGCAGAGUCUAAUGGUAUAAUCAACUUCCUAGGGCUGGAUUUUAUGACUUUCUUUUUUUGUUUUCUAGUAAAUUUGUUUUUAAUAUAUAUUGCUUUGUGAAUCAUGUUGGGAGAGAAAAAUCAGAGCAAAAGGGAAAAACCAUGGGAGAGAUGAAAAGAAAAUCUAUAAAAAAGAAGUGAACAUAGCAUGUAUUGAUUUACAUUCAGUGUCCUUAGUUAUUUUUCUAGAUGCAGAUGGCAUUUUCUGUCCAAAGUCUAUUGGGAUUGCUUUGAAUCACUGAGAAGAACCAAGCCUUUCUUACUUGAUCAUUGCACAUUCUUCUUGUUACUGUGUAUAAUGUAUUUCUGGUUCUGCUUGUUUCAUUCAGCAGCAGUUCAUGUAAAUCUUUCCAGGCCUUUUUAAAAUCAGCUUGUUCAUCAUUUUUUAUAGAACAAUAAUAUUCCAUAACCUUCAUUAAAGUUGCUCAGCCAUUCCCCAAUUGAUGGGCACCUACUCAUUUUCCAAUUCUUUGCUAUCACAAAAAGAGCUGCUAUAAACAUUUUUGCACAUGUGGAUCCUUUCCCCUCCUUUAUGAUUUCCUUGGGAUACAGACCCAGUAAUGGCACUGCUGGGUUAAAGAGUAUGCACAGUUUUACAGUCCUUUGGACAUAGUUCCAAAUUACUCUCCAGAAUGGUUGGAUCAUUUAUGACUCUCUUACGGUGAUUUGUGACUGUUAAUUUUCUUUGCUGUGGUAUAUCAAUGUUGACUCAUAUUCAAUCUACUAAAACCUUAUUAAUUUUUUUUUUAAAGAAAAAUGUUAUCUUGCCAUUCCUCAGAUACUGUGACUUUGGGCAAGGCACUUAAACUUUCUUAGUCUCAGUUUCAUUAUCUAUAUGUUUGUUGUCCUUUCAUUUCAGUUGUGGCUGAUUAGAAUGGUUUUCCAUUUCCUUCUCUAGCCCAUUUUAUAGAUGAGGGAACUGAGGCAAAGAGGUUUAAAUGACUUGUCCGGGGUCAUGCAGCUAGGAAGUGUUUGAGGUUGGAUUUGAACUUGGGUCAGCAUUCUAUCCACUGUGGCACCUUGCUGCCCUACCAUCUAUAUAAUAGAGAUAUAUAUGAUAGGGUUAAUAAUAACUACCUCUCAGCAUUGAAGAUCAAUGUGAUAAUACUUGCAAAGUACUUUGUAAACUUUAUAGCAGUAUGUCUAUGUACAUAUGUAUAUAAAAUAUAAAUGUUAAAAAUAUAAAAUAUUAUUCCUCUCUUAACUUUUAUCUGAGAAUUGAUUUUUUUUGAACCCAUGUAACUUAAUACAUUUAUUGCUAUUAAAUUUUAAAUUAUGGAAUUUCAUUCAAGAUGAAUUUGAAUUUGUCAUUCAAUAUAUUAGCUAUUCCUCCCAGUUUAUCUCCUCACUUGCAAAUUUAAUAAGAAUACAUAUAUUUAUUUAUUUAUUUUUAGCGGGGAAGGCAUUUGCCCAGGAUUACAUAGCUAAUAAGUGUUUGAUGUCAGAUUUGAAUUGUAGGCCCUUCUGACUCUAUACAUUGUACCAUCUAGUUAUAUAUUUAUCAAAGUAACUGAUAAAAAUAUUAAACAUUAGAAGGUCAAAGAUAGUUCCUUGGAGUACUCUACUGGAGAUGUCCUAUGAAAAUGGCAUUAAAAUAUUAACCAAUAUCUUUUGAGCACCAUAAUUCAAUGCCAUCUUUCUGAUUCUCUCUUUCCCUUUUCUACCUUACUCUGUACUGCAUUAUUCUGUCCUAUCCUGCCCUGUUCUAUCUGUCCUAUCCUUUACUGCAUUAUAUAUAUUGUGCUGUACUAUACAAUUUCAUACCAUACUCAUUAAUAUAUCUCCAUACCCACAAAAAUAGGAUGAGGGACAUCAAAUGACAAAAGUUAUGUAAUUUAUAUUCAUAGCCUAAUCUAUAGUCUAGGAAUCCUUGGGACUUGUUUACUCUCUUGGACUCCAAUCAUAUGCCUUACAGAAGCUCAUUUAUCCUGCAGAGAGUGGCUGAUAUGCUGGCAUCUAACUGGGUAAGUGAAUGGGUAAGAGGAGUAGGGAAGUAUUUGGGAGGGGGAGGGUGUAUUAUUUUUAAUCCUUCAGUACCCCUAUUGUUAGGACAGCACACCUGUUAUUGAGGCCGAGGGUAGGUGAUAUGCUCAGCAUCAUACGGCUAAGUAAGUAUCUGAGGCCAGAUUUGAAUUCCAGAAGAUGAGUCCUAAAUAAAUGGCUAUAUGGGUGUUUUUCAGUGGAAUUGACUGUUAUGUAUCAGCUGCCUCUUUCAGGAGUCGUUUGCCUCUUUACGACAUAUUCACUCUGUCCUCCAGGUUCCCUCUGUAACGAGGAAUGAAUGCACCUCAUCCAUCCAUUCCCAAUCUGAAUUGUCUCAGCUAGAGAUUUUCCACACCAAUCUCUGACUUUGUUCUCCAUUACCACUAGGUGGCGGGCCUCACAUAGAAAUGAUACAGAAGCAUUCUCUUGACUCAUCUGCCAGGAGCCAUAAGUUUAAAAGGGAAGUUUCGCUGAAAAAAGGAAGCCUGCUAGGUCAUCCCUAGGACUAAAUGGGACACAUACCCAAGGGCAUAAUUACUUGUAGCAAAGACCUAUUUCUUAAUUCUUGUAAACAAAGUUACACUCAUAAUCAAGUUACAUAAAUAUCACAGGCAAGACAAAGGACAUUUUGUUGAAGAAAUACUGAUUAAACAAUUACUUGGUGUAUACAGAGUAUUUUGCACUUGCAGUUUGAUAAGCUGUAUUCUCUGGCAGUACUCUUCCUAGACAAAAAAGUCUCCCCUAGGUCCUAAGCCUUCAAGGAACUCUGCAUUUUCAACAUUCCCCAUUUGUCAUAGGCACAAAAAAUUUUCGUGUAAAAAUGAAGCAUGCAGACUAUAGCAAAUAAUUAUGAAUGAUCUGCACAACCAAAUGAAUAUUAUUUGUAGGGGAUGCAUUGUAUCAAUCAAUAAACAUGUAUUAAGAACCUA